AGAGUUUGAUCCUGGCUCAGAUUGAACGCUGGCGGCAGGCCUAACACAUGCAAGUCGAACGGUAACAGGAAGAAGCUUGCUUCUUUGCUGACGAGUGGCGGACGGGUGAGUAAUGUCUGGGAAACUGCCUGAUGGAGGGGGAUAACUACUGGAAACGGUAGCUAAUACCGCAUAACGUCGCAAGACCAAAGAGGGGGACCUUCGGGCCUCUUGCCAUCGGAUGUGCCCAGAUGGGAUUAGCUAGUAGGUGGGGUAACGGCUCACCUAGGCGACGAUCCCUAGCUGGUCUGAGAGGAUGACCAGCCACACUGGAACUGAGACACGGUCCAGACUCCUACGGGAGGCAGCAGUGGGGAAUAUUGCACAAUGGGCGCAAGCCUGAUGCAGCCAUGCCGCGUGUAUGAAGAAGGCCUUCGGGUUGUAAAGUACUUUCAGCGGGGAGGAAGGGAGUAAAGUUAAUACCUUUGCUCAUUGACGUUACCCGCAGAAGAAGCACCGGCUAACUCCGUGCCAGCAGCCGCGGUAAUACGGAGGGUGCAAGCGUUUAUCGGAA
rnacentral:rRNA from 1 species